rnacentral:tRNA from 1 species
CUGUGGCUCAGUUGGUAGAGCAACGCAUUCGUAAUGCGUGGGUCGUGGGUUCAAGUCCCAUCGG